UCAGGAAUAGCUCAGUUGGCAGAGCAUUUAGACGGACGAUCUAAAGGUCCCUGGUUCGAUUCCGGGUUCCGGCA
rnacentral:tRNA from 1 species